UACAGAGGGUGCAAGCGUUAAUCGGAAUUACUGGGCGUAAAGGGCGCGUAGGCGGCCUGCUAAGUCGAACGUGAAAUCCCUGGGCUCAACCCAGGAACUGCGUCCGAUACUGGUUGGCUUGAAUCCGGGAGAGGGAUGUGGAAUUCCAGGUGUAGCGGUGAAAUGCGUAGAUAUCUGGAGGAACACCGGUGGCGAAGGCGACAUCCUGGACCGGCAUUGACGCUGAGGCGCGAAAGCCAGGGGAGCAAACGGG
rnacentral:rRNA from 1 species